rnacentral:rRNA from 1 species
UCAGGUGGGACCACCGCGCUACUGCCGCCAGGCAAAUUCUGUUAUCAGACCGUUUUUACGUUCUGAUGUAAUCUGAAUCAGUGCUGAAAAUCGUCUCUCAUCCGCCAAAACAUCUUCGGCGUUGUAAGGUUAAGCCUCACGGUUCAUUAGUACCGGUUAGCUCAACGCAUCGCUGCGCUUACACACCCGGCCUAUCAACGUCGUCGUCUUCAACGUUCCUUCAGGAGACCUAAAGUCUCAGGGAGAACUCAUCUCGGGGCAAGUUUCGUGCUUAGAUGCUUUCAGCACUUAUCUCUUCCGCAUUUAGCUACCGGGCAGUGCCAUUGGCAUGACAACCCGAACACCAGUGAUGCGUCCACUCCGGUCCUCUCGUACUAGGAGCAGCCCCCCUCAGUUCUCCAGCGCCCACGGCAGAUAGGGACCGAACUGUCUCACGACGUUCUAAACCCAGCUCGCGUACCACUUUAAAUGGCGAACAGCCAUACCCUUGGGACCUACUUCAGCCCCAGGAUGUGAUGAGCCGACAUCGAGGUGCCAAACACCGCCGUCGAUAUGAACUCUUGGGCGGUAUCAGCCUGUUAUCCCCGGAGUACCUUUUAUCCGUUGAGCGAUGGCCCUUCCAUUCAGAACCACCGGAUCACUAUGACCUGCUUUCGCACCUGCUCGCGCCGUCACGCUCGCAGUCAAGCUGGCUUAUGCCAUUGCACUAACCUCCUGAUGUCCGACCAGGAUUAGCCAACCUUCGUGCUCCUCCGUUACUCUUUAGGAGGAGACCGCCCCAGUCAAACUACCCACCAGACACUGUCCGCAACCCGGGUAACGGGUCCACGUUAGAACAUCAAACAUUAAAGGGUGGUAUUUCAAGGUCGGCUCCAUGCAGACUGGCGUCCACACUUCAAAGCCUCCCACCUAUCCUACACAUCAAGGCUCAAUGUUCAGUGUCAAGCUAUAGUAAAGGUUCACGGGGUCUUUCCGUCUUGCCGCGGGUACACUGCAUCUUCACAGCGAGUUCAAUUUCACUGAGUCUCGGGUGGAGACAGCCUGGCCAUCAUUACGCCAUUCGUGCAGGUCGGAACUUACCCGACAAGGAAUUUCGCUACCUUAGGACCGUUAUAGUUACGGCCGCCGUUUACCGGGGCUUCGAUCAGGAGCUUCGCUUGCGCUGACCCCAUCAAUUAACCUUCCGGCACCGGGCAGGCGUCACACCGUAUACGUCCACUUUCGUGUUUGCACAGUGCUGUGUUUUUAAUAAACAGUUGCAGCCAGCUGGUAUCUUCGACUGACUUCAGCUCCAUGAGUAAAUCACUUCACCUACGUGUCAGCGUGCCUUCUCCCGAAGUUACGGCACCAUUUUGCCUAGUUCCUUCACCCGAGUUCUCUCAAGCGCCUUGGUAUUCUCUACCUGACCACCUGUGUCGGUUUGGGGUACGAUUUGAUGUUACCUGAUGCUUAGAGGCUUUUCCUGGAAGCAGGGCAUUUGUUGCUUCAGCACCGUAGUGCCUCGUCGUCACGCCUCAGUGUUAAAGUGAACCGGAUUUACCUGGAACACACACCUACACGCUUAAACCGGGACAACCGUCGCCCGGCCAACAUAGCCUUCUCCGUCCCCCCNNNNNNNNNNNNNNNNNNNNCCCCCCUUCGCAGUAACACCAAGUACGGGAAUAUUAACCCGUUUCCCAUCGACUACGCCUUUCGGCCUCGCCUUAGGGGUCGACUCACCCUGCCCCGAUUAACGUUGGACAGGAACCCUUGGUCUUCCGGCGAGCGGGCUUUUCACCCGCUUUAUCGUUACUUAUGUCAGCAUUCGCACUUCUGAUACCUCCAGCAACCCUCACAGGCCACCUUCACAGGCUUACAGAACGCUCCCCUACCCAACAACACCUGAGUGUCGCUGCCGCAGCUUCGGUGCAUGGUUUAGCCCCGUUACAUCUUCCGCGCAGGCCGACUCGACCAGUGAGCUAUUACGCUUUCUUUAAAUGAUGGCUGCUUCUAAGCCAACAUCCUGGCUGUCUGGGCCUUCCCACAUCGUUUCCCACUUAACCAUGACUUUGGGACCUUAGCUGGCGGUCUGGGUUGUUUCCCUCUUCACGACGGACGUUAGCACCCGCCGUGUGUCUCCCGUGAUAACAUUCUCCGGUAUUCGCAGUUUGCAUCGGGUUGGUAAGCCGGGAUGGCCCCCUAGCCGAAACAGUGCUCUACCCCCGGAGAUGAAUUCACGAGGCGCUACCUAAAUAGCUUUCGGGGAGAACCAGCUAUCUCCCGGUUUGAUUGGCCUUUCACCCCCAGCCACAGGUCAUCCGCUAAUUUUUCAACAUUAGUCGGUUCGGUCCUCCAGUUAGUGUUACCCAACCUUCAACCUGCCCAUGGCUAGAUCACCGGGUUUCGGGUCUAUACCCUGCAACUUAACGCCCGGUUAAGACUCGGUUUCCCUCCGGCUCCCCUAUACGGUUAACCUUGCUACAGAAUAUAAGUCGCUGACCCAUUAUACAAAAGGUACGCAGUCACACAGGUAAACCUGUGCUCCCACUGCUUGUACGUACACGGUUUCAGGUUCUUUUUCACUCCCCUCGCCGGGGUUCUUUUCGCCUUUCCCUCACGGUACUGGUUCACUAUCGGUCAGUCAGGAGUAUUUAGCCUUGGAGGAUGGUCCCCCCAUAUUCAGACAGGAUACCACGUGUCCCGCCCUACUCAUCGAGCUCACAGCACAUGCGCUUUUGUGUACGGGGCUGUCACCCUGUAUCGCGCGCCUUUCCAGACGCUUCCACUAACACACAUGCUGAUUCAGGCUCUGGGCUCCUCCCCGUUCGCUCGCCGCUACUGGGGGAAUCUCGGUUGAUUUCUUUUCCUCGGGGUACUUAGAUGUUUCAGUUCCCCCGGUUCGCCUCAUUAACCUAUGGAUUCAGUUAAUGAUAGUGUGACGAAUCACACUGGGUUUCCCCAUUCGGAAAUCGCCGGUUAUAACGGUUCAUAUCACCUUACCGGCGCUUAUCGCAGAUUAGCACGUCCUUCAUCGCCUCUGACUGCCAGGGCAUCCACCGUGUACGCUUAGUCGCUUAACCUCACAACCCGAAGAUGUUUCUUACGAUUCAUCAUCGUGUUGCGAAAAUUUGAGAGACUCACGAACAACUUUCGUUGUUCUGUGUUUCAAUUUUCAGCUUGAUCCAGAUUUUUAAAGAGCAAA